rnacentral:tRNA from 1 species
GAGAGAGGCUUCGGGCAGCGGAACCUGCUAAGUUUCACAACCUCGGUUAAACUCCGAGGCUCACUCG